rnacentral:rRNA from 1 species
AUGUCUAUUCUCAAGGAUGAUCUGAUGCUCCUCUUCCAGGAUUUCUAUGACCAAGUGUCAGAGCUAGACGGAGUAAACUCAGCGAAUAUAGUUUUGAUACCCAAGAAAGACAGCCCUGUGGAUCUCCGGGAUUUUAGGCCCAUUUCCUUGGUGCACACCUUACCAAAGUUGGUCUCCAAAGUUCUUGCUUCCCGCCUACAGAGAGUGAUACCGGAGUUAGUGCAUCAACUACAAUCUGGUUUCUUGCCGGGAAGGUGUAUAGCAGAAAACUUUGCACUCGCGGCUGAACUCGUACAGCAGGCAAAGAUACGGCGUAAGCCGAUGGUGGCUCUAAAGUUGGACUUCCGCAAAGUUUUCGAUAGUGUCAGUUGGGAAGCACUUACAAAAAUUCUCUUCGUCAGGGGCUUUGGAGAUCGCUGGAUUCGUUGGAUUUCGGCUAUGCUGAAGUCAAGUACUGCCAAAAUCUUGAUAAAUGGUUCACUGGGACGCACCAUCAAGUCUAAGUGGCCUAAGAUAGGGUGA